AAUGAAAAUGAGGAUUUGGUGAGUGUAGGGGAGAUAAGAGUGAUCAGGAUGGGGCACUUAGACAUGAAGCCGUUUGUGCUAGCAGUGAAGAAGAAACUUAGAUGAGGUUCAAGAGCAAAAGCAGGGGUAAAAGCUAUGGAGUUGUGUUCAUUUUGGGAAGGACAAGUUGGAGAUGUGCAUUGGUAUCCAUUUAAAGUGGAUGAAUCUGAUGGAAUCGCAAAGAAUGUGGUUGCUAAAAACGAUGAGAAGCUGGUUAAGCUGAAGGAGAACUUUGCGAUGAAGUGGUGAGAGCAAAAAUGGAGAUAGUGGAUUACAACCCGAGCGGUGGCUACGUGGGUUCAGAGCUGUGGAACUUUGAGAAGAACCGAAAGGCUUGGAUGGAGGAAGCAGCGGAGGUGAUGUUGAAGAUAAGGAAGAAGGUCGUGGCUAUGAAGAACAAGCAAAAGAGGCUUCCAGUUCCUAAUACUUGGAACAAUGACGCUAAUGCUGUUUUCUACAUUUGAAAAUAAGGUGGGUGUAAUCAAAUGGUCUGAGGAUCAACAGUAAGAUCAAGACUUUUUUUACUCUGCUGAUCAAGUGCCUGAAGCAAUAUCUAAGAGAGUUUAUUCAUUUUUUAUGUGUACUCCUUAUUGAUGUACGAACUCUUAUUACCUUUUUAUUUAUUUCUCAACGCUAUUGGAUAGGUUAGUUCGUGGUGAUUUACUUCUUUGACAUUUGUUGCAGGUCGUGCAUGGUUAUUCUUUGACAAUUUUUGAGGGGGUUGUUUCAUAGUACAUAUUUUAAAUUAGGGUAAGUAUAUAUUUGAUUUUAUGAAAAGCACGAGUCUAAAGGGCAUUUUUUUGGUGGAUAACAUAAAUGAAAUAUUUCUAUUAUGUCAAUGCCAAUUGAAUC